rnacentral:rRNA from 1 species
AAGUCGUAACAAGGUCUCCGUUGGUGAACCAGCGGAGGGAUCAUUACUGAGUACUACACUCUCUACCCUUUGUGAACUAUUAUACCUGUUGCUUCGGCGGCGCCCGCAAGGGUGCCCGCCGGUCUCAUCAGAAUCUCUGUUUUCGAACCCGACGAUACUUCUGAGUGUUCUUAGCGAACUGUCAAAACUUUUAACAACGGAUCUCUUGGCUCCAGCAUCGAUGAAGAACGCAGCGAAACGCGAUAUGUAAUGUGAAUUGCAGAAUUCAGUGAAUCAUCGAAUCUUUGAACGCACAUGGCGCCUUCCAGUAUCCUGGGGAGGCAUGCCUGUCCGAGCGUCGUUUCAACCCCUCGAGCCCCUGUGGCCCGGCGUUGGGAUCUGCACGGCAGGCCCUAAAACCAGUGGCGGACCCGAAGGCCCUCUCCUUUGCGCAGUAGCAUUCGCCUCGCAUCGGAGUCCUCGGCGUCCUGCCUCUAAACCCCCCACAAGCCCGCUUCGGCGGCACCAAGGUUGACCUCGGAUCAGGUAGGAAUACCCGCUGAACUUAA